UUAAUGAGAGUUUGAUCCUGGCUCAGGACGAACGCUGGCGGCGUGCCUAAUACAUGCAAGUAGAACGCUGAGGUUUGGUGUUUACACUAGACUGAUGAGUUGCGAACGGGUGAGUAACGCGUAGGUAACCUGCCUCAUAGCGGGGGAUAACUAUUGGAAACGAUAGCUAAUACCGCAUAAGAGUAAUUAACACAUGUUAGUUAUUUAAAAGGAGCAAUUGCUUCACUGUGAGAUGGACCUGCGUUGUAUUAGCUAGUUGGUGAGGUAAAGGCUCACCAAGGCGACGAUACAUAGCCGACCUGAGAGGGUGAUCGGCCACACUGGGACUGAGACACGGCCCAGA
rnacentral:rRNA from 1 species